rnacentral:rRNA from 1 species
AUUGAACGCUGGCGGCAUGCUUUACACAUGCAAGUCGAACGGUAACAGGCCUUCGGGCGCUGACGAGUGGCGAACGGGUGAGUAAUGCAUCGGAACGUGCCCAGGCGUGGGGGAUAACGCAGCGAAAGCUGCGCUAAUACCGCAUACGAUCUGAGGAUGAAAGCGGGGGACCGUAAGGCCUCGCGCGAUCGGAGCGGCCGAUGUCAGAUUAGGUAGUGGGUGGGGUAAAGGCUCACCAAGCCGACGAUCUGUAGCUGGUCUGAGAGGACGACCAGUCACGCUGGGACUGAGACACGGCCCAGACUCCUACGGGAGGCAGCAGUGGGGAGUUUUGGACAAUGGGGGCAACCCUGAUCCAGCAAUGCCGCGUGCAGGAAGAAGGCCUUCGGGUUGUAAACUGCUUUUGUACGGAACGAAACGGCUCUGGUUAAUACCUGGAGCUAAUGACGGUACCGUAAGAAUAAGCACCGGCUAACUACGUGCCAGCAGCCGCCGUAAGAC